GACGAACGCUGGCGGCGUGCUUAACACAUGCAAGUCGAACGAAGUGGCGAACGGGUGAGUAACACGUGGGUAACCUGCCCUUCUUUUGGGGAUAACCCUCGGAAACGGGUGCUAAUACCGAAUAAAGGGGGAUGGGUUGCCGGCCUAUCAGCUUGUUGGUGGGGUGAUGGCCUACCAAGGCGGUGACGGGUAGCCGGCCUGAGAGGGUGACCGGCCACAUUGGGACUGAGAUACGGCCCAGACUCCUACGGGAGGCAGCAGUGGGGAAUAUUGCGCAAUGGGCGCAAGCCUGAUGCAGCCAUGCCGCGUGUGUGAAGAAGGCUUUCGGGUCGUAAAGUACUUUCAGAAGGGAAGCGUUACCCUAAGAGGAAGCACCGGCUAACUACGUGCCAGCAGCCGCGGUAAUUC
rnacentral:rRNA from 1 species